rnacentral:lncRNA from 10 species
AGAAAAAUAAAUUGUUCAUUUCUUUACCUACAUCUCAUCAGGAGUAAACACAUUCUCUCUCUGGCUAAGCCAAAUAUACCAUAAAUCCCUCCUAAAAAAAUACCCUGAAAUUGAGAAUCCAAUUUUAAUGGCUAAAUUAUAUUUACCUUGAACUGAGCAUUUUCUAUUAGGAUUUACGUAUGCAUCUUGGGGAUUCUGAAUGUUGGACUUUUUUUUCUUUUUUCUUUUAGAUUUUAACCUGAAUGGAAAAGACAAUAUGAGGGUGAUGAAAGACUCUAGAUGGUCCGUCUUGGGCUUUGAAAGAUGCUGGAAUAUAUGCCUGCUUGGCCAAUUAGUCCCCAAUAACUCUUCAGUGCCAUAGUACUGUGUGUAGAGAAAACCUCAAUGAAAAGAAAAUGGACAAUCAAGCUGGAUAAAAUACAUCCCUUAAAUGAGAACUACGCUAUGUGAAAAAAAAAUAGAAGAACAAGUCCUCAGCAAGUCAAUGAUCAUAAGAAAAACAGUUAUAUUGACUAGUUAUUUUGUGUGUUUGAUGUACAAUAUGGAGAAAUAUUAGUAGCCAAAUGAAUGUGACACAUUGACACAGAUGCAUUGUAAAUAUUAUGCUAUUGAGACCAUAGAUUCAGUUACAUUCCUCUGAUGAAUGUGGAUGCUUUCAUUUCCUGUUUUAGAAGGCAACUAACCUGAUUAAUAUCAAACUGCAAGCUCUGCCUUGUUUGCAGUAGGUGACUGCUCAAAUUGUAGUUAUUUUAGCCUCAGCUCUGAGAUAAUUUGUUUCUGUCCUGUUUUUCCCCCAACAAGUAUGGUUCAAGGUUCACAUACAGACUUGGCCAGAGUUCAUAUGCAGACUUUUAACUGCCUUCUUCCCAGGAUUUCCUCUCCAUUUUUGGGGUGGGUGGGCAG